rnacentral:rRNA from 1 species
CCUACGGGUGGCAGCAGUGAGGAAUAUUGGUCAUUGGGCGGAAGCCUGAACCAGCCAAGUCGCGUGAGGGAUUAAGGCCCUGCGGGUCGUAAACCUCUUUUGCCGGGGAGCAGAGGUCCGGACGUGUCCGGGCCGGGAGAGUACCCGGAGAAAAAGCAUCGGCUAACUCCGUGCCAGCAGCCGCGGUAAUACGGAGGAUGCGAGCGUUAUCCGGAUUUAUUGGGUUUAAAGGGUGCGCAGGCGGAAGAUCAAGUCAGCGGUAAAAUUGAGAGGCUCAACCUCUUCGAGCCGUUGAAACUGGUUUUCUUGAGUGAGCGAGAAGUAUGCGGAAUGCGUGGUGUAGCGGUGAAAUGCAUAGAUAUCACGCAGAACUCCGAUUGCGAAGGCAGCAUACUAAACUAUAACUGACACUGAAGCACGAAAGCGUGGGGAUCAAACAGGAUUAGAUACCCCAGUAGUC